CACAUACAUCUGGUCUUCCUACGCCACUUCAACCCGAAACCCGCCAUCCCCCAAAACCCUUCUUCUCUAUUUCUCAUUUCUGUCUAGCCCUUCCCCUCUCUAAAACACGCAGUACGCGCACUAAAAAUGCCUAAACCCACCAAUCCACUACAUUCAGUUCACCUGCGUAAACUCCUCCUCCGUUGCUUCUCCACUCACUCCAAUUCUCUACUUCCUUAUCGAUCUAACUUUCCGCCGCCGCCACAGCAGCUGCAACAACCUUUUUUUCAGUCGUUCUCAUCCACUACUAAUGCGCAUUUGCUCUCCCUACAACCCCUUUUUCUCCGAUCCUUUUCUGUGCAAACUGGCCCCACUGCCAAUGGAACAAAGCCCGUCGAAGAAAACCCAGAAGAAAAUCUUGUAGCAGAAAGCCUUUCUAGCGAGCUUCUGAAAGACCCAGAUUCAGAACCUCUUCCUUUGCCACAAAGACUGGACCUUUCAUUCUCUCACAUUAUUCUCACCCCUUCUGUGAUCCUCAAUACUCUCAAUAUCUCCCCUGAUGCUGGUCGUGGCGUCAUUGAUUUCCUCAAAUGGGCAAAUUCAAGGACUGACUUCAAGCCCACUGAUGAGGUUUACUCUUAUUUUGUUGAUUUCUUCGGAAGAAGGAAGGAUUUUAAGGCUACCCAUGAAGUGCUGGUCGACGGCCAUGGAAUAGCUGGGUCGAAAUGUCUGGAGGCCCUCGUAGACAGGCUUGUUCGGGCUGGUAGACCUGCACAAGUGGUGGCAUUGUUUGAGCGUAUGGAGAAGGAUUAUGGGUUUUUGAGAAAUAUGGAUUCUUUGAAGUUGAUUGUUUCGAGUCUUUGUGAGCAUGGAUAUGCGAGCUAUGCUGAAAAAAUGGUGAAGAGUCUGUCAAGUGAGUUCUUCCCGGAUGAGUAUAUUUGUGAUGUUCUGAUUAAGGGCUGGUGUGUUGAUGAAAAAUUGGAUGAAGCAAAAAGAUUGGCCGGUGAGAUGUAUCGGGGAGGGUUCGAGAUAGGUACACUUGCUUACAAUGCAAUUUUAGCUUGCGUUUGUCAUUUGUGUAGGAAGAAGGAUCCGUUUAGGCUUCAAUCCGAAGUGGAGAAUGUGUUGAUCGAGAUGGAAAGACAUGGUGUUCCUCGCAAUGUGGAGACAUUCAAUGUGUUGAUUACCAAUUUAUGUAAGAUCAGGAAAACUGAGGAUGCAAUGAAACUGUUCCAUAGGAUAGGGGAAUGGGGGUGUUACCCAAAUGAAACUACAUUUCUUGUGCUCACGAAGAGUUUAUAUCAGGCAGCUAGGGUGGGUGAAGGUGAUGAGAUGAUCGAUAGAAUGAAAUCUGCAGGAUAUGGGGAUGCAUUGGAUAAGAAGGCAUAUUAUGAGUUUUUGAAGAUAUUGUGCGGGAUCGAGAGGAUUGAUCAUGCUAUAAGUGUUUUUGCAAAAAUGAAAGAGGAUGGGUGCAAACCGGGGAUUAAGACCUAUGACUUGUUAAUGGGAAAGUUGUGUGCAUAUGGACGUGUAGAUAAAGCUAAUGCACUUUAUAAAGAGGCCGAGAGUCGUGGGGUAGCUGUCGAGCCAAAGGAAUAUAAGGUGGAUCCUAGGUUUGUGAAGAAGAAGCCUACUGCAGUGAAGAAGGAGAAGAAAAGGGAGACACUACCCGAGAAGAUGGCCAGGAAGAGAAGAACUCUUAAAAAGUUAAGGUUAAGUUUUGUGAAGAAGCCAAAGCGAAUGAUGAGACGAUCUUAUUGAUCUCUUUGUCAUUUUAUUGUGUUGCAAUCAAAUUUUGAAGAGGGAGUUGAUGCUUUUCUUCUUCGUUGAGCUUCAGAGUGGCUUUAUAAAAAAUGCAGAGGAAACUUCAGUGACUUCGGCAGGUCGCAUAGACAGGUUAUUGAUGCCUGAAUGCAGCCCGAUAUAGAUGAUAUUCUUUCUGGAGUCGACCUUCGUAUGUCUGAAGGAUAGAUGUUAAAAUACAUCGCGAGGGAUAAAGACUUGCAACACAUUCCUGUGAUCAGUGAGCACCAGUUCUGCUGAUUUUAGAUGCUCGAGUUUUAGUUUGGUCGUCAUUCUUUUUAAUAGUGAUGUUGGCUCAAGGUCAGGUCUCGAUUGUUGUUAAGUGCCUGAGAUUAGGAGCAGCUGACUAUCUUGUCGAGCCAUUGAUUGUCAAUGAGAUGUUAAAACUUGUAGACUCGUAAACAGAGAGGGCGAAUGGUACUAUCUUGAGCAAAGCUUUUUCACAUACAUCAAACAGCGCAUCCCUGGAAAUUCAUUCACAAGAACGUGACCUUCCUAGCAGCAAUUAUAUCGCUAGAAAUCUCACAACCGAGGUACUCAAAAGAGUUCACUUGGGUGCAGAUGCUUCUAAGAAAUGAGUAUCCUAAUGACGAUACUGGUUUUCAUGCACGGACUUUAUUAUCCAGAGUAAUGAAUCGACGACUAGCUUCAGAAGACAAAGAGAGGAAGGUUGAAUAGCCAAGAUGAAUUCUUCACCCGAGGGUGAACUUAUCCCAGAAUGAUAAGAGUGAACUUAUUCUAUGCUGUUAGAAUAUAUGUAAUUCAUAGGUAUAUGACCGAUUACUGUCACGCUCGACAAAACAUUUAGAAAGAAAGUCUUAGACAAGAAUGCCAAAUCGACAACCAUGUAACAUUUAAAGUGAAACGUGAUACACACAAACACAAUGGAAAAUGUAGCAUUACCAACCAGUACAAGAAAUUGAGGAACACAAAUGAAGAAGCCCGUGCACAAGGUCAGGAACUU